GUCUUCUGUUAAAUUUUCAUAUUGAAGUUGUAAGCCGCAAAGGUAAAUAAAUAAAAAAAGAGAGGACAGUUGAUUUUCAGCCUCGCGCUGUAUAUCUUUACUGCUUAUUCAUGUAUGUAUGUACAAACCAACUGACUAGCCUAACAACGUGUUCUGGUGGUGGGUGUUCUUUGGUCUAGCCACCAUUCUACUGUGCUCUGUGCUGUUCAAGAUGGCUGAGAGCGCGGAUCGCAAAUUUCGGCGUGAAAUUAAUCGGCGCGUCAAUGCUAGUUUUCAGCUUAUUGACAGUGAGGCCGAUGUCAUAAAUGACACGCGGUACGUUGACCGAGAUUCCCGCAACGCCGAAAGAGAGAGCGACUUGCCCUCCGAGGCUUGUGCGGUCGACCUCGAAGACGGCCAUCGUCGCCUUUGUGUUCAUGACAGAGAACGGCCUUCGGCACACUCCUCGAUCGUUCCAGAAACGGAUGUGCCCCAAGGACACGUUUUGAUUUCUGGCGACGCGUGCUACCCCAGCGGCUGCAGUGUUUCUGUGCCUCACGAUCACACAGACUUCGAACGGCGUGCCUUCCAUGACAGCAGCGCUGCGGCUUCGACUUCGGCGACCUCGCAGGUGAGGCAGAGGGAUUCUUUCGAAUUGGCACCGACUGGGAGUAACGAAGAGCAAGUUUGUGAACGCGGCAGUGUGGACAGCUUGCUGGCCUUUCGUGAGAGACUGCAAGCGUGGGCCUUACAAUCUCGCGCAUCGCACACUUCAGUUACAUCGCUCUUGAGAGUACUACAGUCCCACGAAUGCUUCAGCGCGCUCCCUUCAACUGCAAGGGCAUUGUUACAGACGCCCAAGAAGUGCCUGGAAGUGUUGCAGCUGGCCGGCGGGAAAUACCAUCAUUUCGGCCUCAGUGCAGGCCUACAGCGAGUGCUGCAAGAUUGUGCAGAACUACCAAGAAUUUUGAAGCUUAGCUUCAACAUUGACGGUCUGCCGGUUUCAAAAAGUUCACGGGGCCAAUUUUGGUGCAUACUGGGACGCAUAAGUAAUUUGGAGGACAAAGCACCAUUUAUAGUGGGUGUUUUUUUCGGAAGCAGCAAGCCCAACAACGCGAAUGAUUUUUUGCGACCAUUUGUUUGUGACAUAAAUGCUGCUAUCACAACAGGGAUUACCAUUGGAGAAACUGCAAUUCCUGUUAGCUUGUAUGCCCUCAUAUGUGAUGCACCAGCAAAGGCAUUUGUAUUAUAUGUCAGAAGCCACACAGGCUAUUACAGCUGCACCAAAUGUGACGUAAAAGGUGUCUACUGUGAGGGCAGGGUGUGCUUCCCAAACGUCAAUGCUCGCAAGCGAACAGAUGACAGCUUUCGCUUAAAAGUCCAGGAGGAGCAUCACACAGGCGAAAGUAUUCUUGAGGAACUUCCUUUUGACCUAGUGAAAGAUAUACCAUUAGAUUACAUGCACCUUGUGUGCUUGGGUGUCAUGAACAAGCUCUUGACACUGUGGGUACGUGGCCCAAAAGUGACCAGACUUGGAAGCAAAGUGCGUCUUGAGAUGUCGGAAAAAAAUUCUCAAAUUGCACGGUGUGUUCCAUGUGAUUUUAGCCGAAAGCCGAGGAGCAUUGCUGAACUUGAUCGGUGGAAAGCGACUGAGUUUCGCUUUUUUCUUUUAUAUGGAGGACCCGUUGUUUUGUCAUCACUGAUUCCUGCACACAUGUACAAGAACUUCUUAGCUUUACAUGUGGGGAUCUCUGUUCUUUCCACACCAGCUGCACCUGCAAGUGAGAUAGAGUAUGCCGGAAACAUGCUCAAGUUUUUUAUCCGGACAUUCAUAAGCAUUUAUGGCAAAGAGCAUGUUUCACACAAUGUGCAUGGCCUGUGUCAUUUGGCAGAUGAUGUUACACACCUUGGCCCCUUGGACUCAUGGAGUGCCUUCCCAUUUGAAAACCAUAUGUCCUCGUUAAAGAGAAUGCUGAGAAAGCCAGACCUUCCCUUGGAGCAACUUUGCAACAGGCUUGCUGAGCAGGCACACCGUCCUCUGAGGCAUAAGAAAACUGAAAGCCAUGUCGUAUUUGCUGCAGAGCAUGCUGACGGGCCACUUGUUGCUCCAUGCCGAGGCCCCGAGUUUAAAAAAGUAACAUUGCCUGGCAAUGUCAUUCUUAGAGCUGAAAAGAGAAAUGGGUGCUGUAGGCUAAGUGAUGGGUCAAUCGUCGUUAUUGACAAUUUUGCUCAUCUCCCGUGCGGUGAGCCAUGCAUAAUUGGAAGGAAGUUCCUCAAGUGUGAAGAUUUUUAUUCUCUGCCAUGCCCUUCCUCCAUACUGGGAAUUUACUCAGUGUCUCAGCCUUCUAGUCUGCGGUAUUGGCCUCUGAAGAACAUCUCACAGAAAUGCCUGAAAGUGUAUUUGAAAAGGAAAAGCAUUGUUUUCCCUCUUUUGCAUGCUACAGUGCACAUGUAAUAAACUUUCACAACUGUGUCAGAAUGUAUACAGAAUUUGAAUUUGGCUUCUCUUUCUUUUGCAAGGUCAAUACGUUGUCGUUCUCUUCCCAGAAGAGGAUGAUACAUCUGGGAUCAUCCUCAAAAGUUGGCUGAAAGGCGACGGCUGCCUGUGGCCUCGACAAACUAAAUAUGUACAUAGUUUGUUGAAGGCGAAAGCGACUCCAGGGGCUGACUGGAUAGAAGUGCCUUGCACUGUUGUCCGAGAAUUUGGUAAAUUAUUCCUUAUUUAUGCUGUUUUACUGCACGUUUUUCAGCGAUUUGGUCAGCAAUGAAGUAAAAGGUAUGUAAUAAACUGCAAUUUCAGCAUUGUAACUCUAAUUGCCACUUUAGAUCAAAGUAACUUCUUAAAAGUUUAGAUGGGUUCGAGAAUAUCAGGAAAAGAUAUCAGAAGAUGGCUUCGAAGAAUAUCAGAAGAUAGCUUCGAGAAUAUCAGGAAAAAAAGAACAAUUAUGCGAAAUCAAGUAUCUCAUAUUUUGUGAAUACUUGCAUGUCAGCUGUCAUUGCAGCAAAAUUUAAAUGAUCCAUUUUAAUAUCAUGGGUGACUCUUAGUACCUGCUUGGUAAUGACUUAUGCAAAGGAAUUGGAGUUCUACUUGUUAUGUGUGACAGAUCUGAGAAAUGAUCAUGCUUAUCAUUUAAUUAGUAGUUGUUGCCCUUCUUUCUGCAGAUACAUAUGCCGAAGCACGGGCAAAUCUGCCAAGGGUAGAAAAUGGAUCCAACUUGGACGGCGAGGCAGAACUUGGGAAAGGCAGAAGAAAAAAAAAUAAGAGAUCCUAUGAGUCUGAAGAUGAUGAAGGGGCACCAUCACCUCCAGCUUCAAUGAUAAGACGUAUAACACCAUUUUUGAACUUUACGUAAAGUGAACUGCUUGUACUUAUGUUUUUUAAUAGUAUUGAAUCUUUUUACAUCCUGCAAUGCCUAUUUUACAAUGAUAGCCCCACGGAAUUGCUCACACUGUUUUCUGUUAUCUACCGCCAAAAGUAACACUGGGUUAUCUGGCUUUAGGGCUGUGAAAUGCUGAUUCUGGCUUGCUUUCUUAGGGAGAAAACACAAGCGACCAAGAAAUUUAGAGAAUCGGCCACUGCCCACCCAGCCACGGUCAUUGGAACAUGAAGGGUAUGCAGACAAGGCAGGGCGGCAACCACUGCAGCAGCAUCGCACCACAGGCCAGGAAGGGGCUUUAUUGACUAGAUCCAAUAUCAGUGAAGUGCCUGCGUUCGACUCCAGUUCACCAGCAGGCAUUAGGCCAUCACAAAGAGCCCCUUCACCGAGAAUGGCAUCACCUGAGGGUCAAAAUGUUUACAGAGGUUCAUACAGCAACAACUGCAGACCUCUGGACAAUCUUGAAGGGCCACCAUUUCAGCAGCAUUACAGCAGUCAGCAAGGGGCUUCAUGGACUGCACCCAAUAAUUGCCACGAGCCUGGCUUAGGCUUUCCCUCAACAUCAUCUAUGCCUGCUCAGAGAGCAGGAUAUAAUGAGGGGCAAAAUGUCAUCAGGAAUUCUCCUACCAGUAGACACACACCUUCCAAUUCCCCUAGCACUAGAAGCAUACCUUUUGGUAAGUAACAUUAGAGCUUCCUUAGAUCGGCACCUAUUGUGAUGCAGACUACCUUUAUAUUCAUUGUUUGGGGAAUACAAAGUGUUUUUGCCUGUACGUUAUAAAGGUUUGCAAGUGCUAAGCAACACGUUUCGUCUGAUAGCUGCACCAGUGGUAAACAACAUAGGGUGCUUAUUUGCAAUUUCGGAACAAUGUACCAAAUGUAGUUGCUUUAUCAAGUGUAAAUGCCUGUUGUCUCAGAAAAAUUGAAGCUAAGGUGCCAGUAAUUAAAGCUUUAAUACAUAAACAACUGUUAUCACCUUUUUGGUGUACAGAACAUGCCUCUUGAUCGCAGUGGAAAUGAGAAAACUGCGUGUCACUUCGAUGGCAAUGAGCACGCUUUUACCCCAUAAUCAAAAAAAAAAUAUUUUUUUUUCAGUAGACAGAAAUGACAGUGGCAUCACUUUGUAGCAAAAACAAUGGCAACUGUCACUUGUAGGAACUGUCACUUACAGAGCAUGCAGACAACCUUGAAAGGCAAGUGUUGCAGCAACAUAACAGUAGUCAGCAAGGCCCUUCAUGUAAGAAUACUUUCGAUGAAAUGUUCAGAGCUAGUUUUUAGAAGUGCAUCUUAAAACCUUCAUCUAUGCUUCUGUAGGGACUGCACACAAUAAUACCCAUGGGUCUUCAUUAGGCUUCCCCUCUAGCAAUAGAAGCUCACCUCCUGGUAAGUAACAUUAAAGCUUUCUUACCCGGGUGCCACUUCAGAGGUGAAGACAAUCUUUGUAUUUAUUGUCUAGGGAAUACAGUUUUUUUUCUCUUUAGAUUAAAAUCUUUGCAAGUGCUAAGCAAAACGUUUUGUCUUAUAGCUGUGCCAGUCGUAAGCAGCAUAAUUGCUUAUUUGCAAUUUCGGAACAAUGUACUAACUGUAGUUGCUUUAUCAAGUGUAAAUACCUGAUGUCUCAGAAAAAUUGAAGCGAAGGUGCCACAAUUAAUACUUUUAAUUCAUAAACAACUGUUGUCGCCUAUUUAGUGUAGAGAACAUGCCUCUUGAUCACAGUGGAAAUGAGGACUGUGUGUCACUUUGAUGGCGAUGAGCACGCUUUUACCCCAUAAAUGAAGAGUUAUAUUUUAAACAUUUUUUUUUUGCUUUCGUUGGGAAAGUGAUAGUGGCAUCACUUUGCUGCAAAAACUAUGGCAACUGUUAUAUGUAUGGUCUGGUCACACAUUGUUUCAGUGCUUAAAACAUUAAAGUAUCUGUUUCUGCUUAUUCUAUUUUUCACAAAUUCACUUAAUAACCUAACUUUCAACAAUUUUUCUGAACUUAUUCCAAGUUUUUGUUGAAAACUAGGUUGUAAAUAUAUGGGUACACUGAAUCACAGCACGCAAUGAAGGUGCUUCAUCUCAGUGUCAACUCUGCAUGCGUAUUCAGGUCCUAAAAAGGCAUCACUGAGCAUGCUAACAAAAUAACUGAAGCCAUGUAGGCACAAAUUUCUAAAACCGACAAUAAUGUGCAGAGAAGCCAUAAACAACUGUGUGCUUGUUUUGCUGUGUUUAGUAGCACUUCUCAUUUUCAAUGUUAUCUCAGCUUUUGCCAUUUUAUAUGUUGCAAUUCAGCGCUAUUACUUCAUGAACACGUCUUUACAGAACACGUCUUUACAGAAUGCGAAUGCGAAUUUCGCAAACUAUCCUGAUGAGGCUAGAGCAGCUGGGACGACAGGUUGAUGCCAUGCAGCAGCACCUUUUCAACACAACAGUGAGGCUUCAAGAUGAGACAAAUGAUGAUGUGGUUUUGACACCGGUCAAGGAUAUUGACCAAUUUCUAAGUCUUGAGGGGAGACUUGCUGCUGAUGGCAACAUUAAGCUAAAGCUUAUACAGCAGCUUGCUGGCCUUGGUGGCUCAACUUUUGGGGCAGCAGCCAGGAGGAUGCUGGAGCUUCUGCUAAGCCUUGAGGUUGCUGUGCAGUUCAGCUGGGCAGGCCAAAAAGGCAAAAGGAAGUUUGUGGAUCUAGGUGUCACAGAUGUCAUUUGCAAGGCCGUGAGGCGAAAUUUUCCGGAAACAAAAAAAAAUGACAUCGAGUGUGUGAUUAAAGUGUGGCUUCGGCAUGCUGGGGAAAAGCUCCAGAAGCAGCGCUUAAGAACUUCUCGCACUCACCAUGAGGAAUGUCUUCAAAGUGUCGCGUUGUCAAGCCCAUCGGAUGAAGACCUCUGAAGGCACAGGGCAAGAAGUCUCAUCUAGUGAAAACUGCCAAGUUUCAUUCCUGAAAAUAAACAUGUUUUCUGUGCA